AUUGAACGCUGGCGGCAGGCUUAACACAUGCAAGUCGAGCGGAGAGAGGUAGCUUGCUACUGAUCUUAGCGGCGGACGGGUGAGUAAUGCUUAGGAAUCUGCCUAUUAGUGGGGGACAACAUUUCGAAAGGAAUGCUAAUACCGCAUACGUCCUACGGGAGAAAGCAGGGGAUCUUCGGACCUUGCGCUAAUAGAUGAGCCUAAGUCGGAUUAGCUAGUUGGUGGGGUAAAGGCCUACCAAGGCGACGAUCUGUAGCGGGUCUGAGAGGAUGAUCAACCACACUGGGACUGAGACACGGCCCAGACUCCUACGGGAGGCAGCAGUGGGGAAUAUUGGACAAUGGGCGGAAGCCUGAUCCAGCCAUGCCGCGUGUGUGAAGAAGGCCUUAUGGUUGUAAAGCACUUUAAGCGAGGAGGAGGCUACUUUAGUUAAUACCUAGAGAUAGUGGACGUUACUCGCAGAAUAAGCACCGGCUAACUCUGUGCCAGCCGCCGCAGUAAGAC
rnacentral:rRNA from 1 species